UCCUUGUUUUAUUUCCGUUCUAGCAUUUGCCUCAGUUUUAAAUUAUACUCGUUAGGAGUUAAUCUCAUUAUUUACAUCUCGAGUCAGAAUGCAGACUGUCCUCUCCUUGUCUUAUGUCACUGAUGCACUCUGGUUUAAUGAAGGUUUAAUAUGUAUUUAUUGACUGAAGGAAGAAAACAAGUGGGGAAGAGUAAAGAAAACCUUUCCCUGAGGUGGAACGAUGGCUUGUCUCCAAACGUGAGGACCUGAAUCCUGUCCCCAGAGUCUUGUGUAAAAUUGCCAGGCACGAUCUGGGAAGGUGGUGUGGUGGGUAAAGGGCUUACUACACAAGUGUGAGGAUCACAAUCCCCAGAGGCCACAUAAAUGCCAAGCAGCCUGACUGAAAUCUCAGUCUUCGCAGGACCUGCUGACUAGCAACACUAGCUUAUUGAUUGAGAGACCCUGGCUCAUUUGAGUUACGGUGGAAGAGCAGAGGAGGGCAAUUUUGGACAUCUACACGUGGCCUCUAUAUGCAUGGACCCUCACAUACACACAUGUGCCUGAAUGAAAAAAAGGAAUAAAAACGGAGCAUGUGACUCCCCCUAA
rnacentral:sRNA from 1 species